rnacentral:snoRNA from 1 species
GGCAAAGAUGAAGAGUGCUUUAAAUUUCUGACACCUCUUGUAUGAGAAAAGCUUUGAAAGAAGUUUUUCCUUGAGCAGAGAUAGCAACACUCUGAGCC